rnacentral:lncRNA from 1 species
GUCCUUCUCAUGCGGCUCCUUCAGUAAUAGUGGCCAAAAUUAUGGAGCGACUUCGAGAGAAGGAACGCGAACGAGAGGCCGACUUCUCCAUUCGGCGAGCGAGCAGACACAGCCGACCCAGCUCAACGUCUUCUGACAAAUCAGCCUCCAUGGAAAAACACCAAGGCCGAUUCAACAAAGCAGCGCGCAACAUCUUGACCAAAGUCAAGUGUACUCCUGGGAGCGUUUUAACACCAGACAACCGGCGUUGGUUGGACAGUCAAGGGGACAAGUCACCAGAUGUGCCAAGACGGAUAAUAAUCGGUCAACGCUCUUUUACCUUUAGUAGAGACGGUGAUCUCAUUGAGUCACCCCCUUCUAGUCUUACAGAUAGUGACAGCCGUUGGACAAGUAGCACAGAAGCUCACAAGCCUACAAUAGAUGCAGAUCAUAGUAGAUUUUUAUUUCCAUCAAUAGCAGAAGAUCAAAAAUCACACGAAGGCACCACCCCAGAAGGAAUAGCCCCGGUAGCAAACAGUUUCUAAGUGAGGAACUGGAUAGUGGUAUAGUUGAAGGCCUCAACAGUCCGCUCAACAAUAUAACUGUUCAAACAAGCCUGGAUAGCUGUAUGGAUAAUUAUAGUUGUGAAGGAAAAGACUCCUUAGCUGCAGAUCAGAGCACUCUGAAUGCAGUAGUCAAUAAUUUUAGUGAUAGCAAUGCAAAUAUUUUGGUAAGCUCCUCAAACGCUGAAAUAAUAUCUGCAUCAUCACCAAGAAUAUUAAUCAGUUAGUUUUAAGUGGAGACGAACAGAAUUUAACCAAUUGUCUCCUCAAUCCUCAAGCUGAUGUGCUGAACAACAAUCCACGUGUAAUCAUCUAUGAACCAAAUCCAUUUGAAGAAGCAUUUCAGUCUCAGAGCCCUGUUAUUGACUUCUCGAGUGAUCAAAAGACUGAUAAAGUUAUAGAUUUGAAGUCAAGAAGUAUGUUAGAUCCUCCCAUAUCAUCUCCGAGUGGACCGAGGUCAUUACAAGAAGAGCUUGAAAGCGAGGAUCAAAGUUAUUUUAGCUACACAAACCUGAGAAAAACUCCGCCUCAAACUCCAGGAUCCAUUUCUCCAAGUCCAGAACGAGAAUUGGAAGAGCUAUUAUCUGUCGUCCAGCCUUAUAAUGAUCGCAACCCAUCGAAACAUGACUCUUUCUCAGAGUCAAGUGUCCUUUAUGAUAAUAUAAUUAAUUUUCCACGAAGAUUGAGUAGUUUCUGUGAAUCACUGGAUCAUGUCAUCGAUUCCCUGGAAAAAAUCAUGCAUCCUCUCGAACAAACCUGCGAUUCAGCAACUGAGUCUGACGCUGCCUCAACAUCUGGCAACUUUUGGAAGAACAAAUCAAUUGAGCAUCAGUAUGAAGAAUUGUGCACCUUAGGAUUCCAGUUACAGGAGAUCGGUAUUGAUUUGGAAAUCAUGUCUAAAGAGGAAUUCAAAGCCCUGGAUUCCAGUCAAAGAUGUGCUCUUCAGUGCACAGUCGUUCGUCAAGCAUUGAAUGCCUAUCUAAUGCAGUUAAACUCUGAUGAGACUAAUGCUGAGCUAAAAUCAUGCAUCAGGCCUGAAGUUCAGAAAGUGUCCGAUUUACUUGACACAAAUGAAGAUGCUCAAAAUUAGCAGCUGUUGUAAAGCAG